CGCGUAGGCGGUCUUGUCGGUCAGAUGUGAAAGCCCGGGGCUCAACCCUGGAAGUGCAUUUGAAACAGCAAGACUUGAAUACUAGAGAGGAGAGCGGAAUUCCUGGUGUAGAGGUGAAAUUCGUAGAUAUCAGGAGGAACACCGAUGGCGAAGGCAGCUCUCUGGACAGAUAUUGACGCUGAGGCGCGAAGGUGUGGGUAGCGAACAGGAUUAGAUACCCUGGUAGUCC
rnacentral:rRNA from 1 species